CCCCUCUCAGGAUAGCACCUGGAGAGUUUCCAGUACUCUACCAGUCUCGACUAUGGGAGGAAGAGUCAAGCAGAGGCCUACCCAGUCCAUUCCUAGCUCAGGCAGUGGCUAGCGAGUGGAAGGCAAUCUGCAACAAGU
rfam:Ornithorhynchus anatinus chromosome 7, whole genome shotgun sequence.